rnacentral:rRNA from 1 species
UGGGGAAUAUUGGACAAUGGGGGAAACCCUGAUCCAGCAAUGCCGCGUGUGUGAAGAAGGCCUUAGGGUUGUAAAGCACUUUUGUUAGGGAGGAAGGUUUAGGAGUUAAUAGCUUCUGAAAUUGACGUUACCUAAAGAAUCAGCACCGGCUAACUCUGUGCCAGCAGCCGCGGUAAUACAGAGGGUGCAAGCGUUAAUCGGAAUUACUGGGCGUAAAGGGUCUGUAGGCGGAUUAUUAAGUCGGAUGUGAAAUCCCCGAGCUCAACUUGGGAACGGCAUUUGAUACUGGUAGUCUAGAGUAUGCAAGAGGAUGGGGGAAUUCCUGGUGUAGCAGUGAAAUGCGUAGAUAUCAGGAGGAACAUCAAUGGCGAAGGCACCUAUCUGGGGCAAUACUGACGCU